rnacentral:lncRNA from 1 species
CAAGUGAGCUGACAAGAAUCUUUGCCUGAACAACCCUUGAGAAGCUCAGAACUUCCCCCCCUAUAAACCCCGAAGGGUCAGAGGGAUUUGCGUUUUCACUUGUCACCCAUUCAUCUAUUCAGUCAUAAAACAAGCAAGUCUGUCCCAGGUGUUUCAUUAAUGUUGGUGGUACAAAGAUAAAUUGUUGUGGAUUACAUGUGGUCUGUCUACACAGAGGUCUCCAGCUGAAUCAGGAUC